rnacentral:rRNA from 1 species
UGCGCAGGCGGACUAUUAAGUCAGUGGUGAAAUCUCUCGGCUCAACCGAGAAACUGCCAUUGAAACUGAUAGCCUUGAGUGUAGUUGUAGUAGGCGGAAUAUAGCAUGUAGCGGUGAAAUGCUUAGAUAUGCCAUAGAACACCGAUCGCGAAGGCAGCUUACUAAACUAUCACUGACGCUCAUGCACGAAAGCGUGGGGAGCGAACAGGAUUAGAUACCCUGGUAGUCC